CUACGGGACGCUGCAGUGGGGAAUAUUGGACAAUGGACCAAAAGUCUGAUCCAGCAAUUCUGUGUGCACGAUGACGGUUUUCGGAUUGUAAAGUGCCUUCAACAGGGAAGAAGUUCUGACGGUACCUGUAGAAGAAGCGACGGCUAAAUACGUGCCAGCAGCCGCGGUAAUACGUAUGUCGCAAGCGUUAUCCGGAUUUAUUGGGCAUAAAGGGCAUCUAGGCGGCUUAGUAAGUCUGAUGUGAAAAUGCGGGGCUCAACUCCGUAUUGCGUUGGAAACUACUAAGCUAGAGUAUUGGAGAGGUAGGCGGAACUACAUGUGUAGAGGUGAAAUUCGUAGAUAUAUGUAGGAAUGCCGAUGACGAAGGUAGCUUACUGGACAAUUACUGACGCUGAAGUGCGAAAGCUAGGGGAGCAAACAGGAUUAGAUACCCCCGUAGUC
rnacentral:rRNA from 1 species